rnacentral:rRNA from 1 species
GACGUAGGGCGCGAGCGUUGUCCGGAUUUAUUGGGCGUAAAGAGCUCGUAGGCGGCUUGUCGCGUCGACUGUGAAAUCCCGCGGCUCAACUGCGGGUCUGCAGUCGAUACGGGCAGGCUAGAGUUCGGUAGGGGAGACUGGAAUUCCUGGUGUAGCGGUGAAAUGCGCAGAUAUCAGGAGGAACACCGAUGGCGAAGGCAGGUCUCUGGGCCGAUACUGACGCUGAGGAGUGAAAGCGUGGGGAGCGAACAGG